GACGAACGUUGGCGGCGUGCUUAAUACAUGCAAGUCAACUGAAGCAGUGGUAGCAAUAUCGCUGUGGAGGUGGCGCACGGGUGAGUAACACGUAGGUAAUCUGCCUUCAGGUCUGGCAUAACUCCGGGAAACCGGGGCUAAUAGCAGAUGAUGCAGCGGCUCGACAUCGAGACAGUUGUUAAAGCUAUGGCGCCUGAAGAUGAGCCUGCGUCUGAUUAGCUAGUUGGCGGGGUAACGGCCCACCAAGGCAACGAUCAGUAGCUGGUCUGAGAGGAUGAUCAGGCACACUGGAACCGAGACACGGUCCAAGAUACUACGGGGGGCAGCAGGAAGGAAAAUUGCUGAAAGGGAGAAAUCCUGGAGCAGCAACGGCGCGUGAAGGACGAAGGGCUUUUGGUUGUAAACCUCUUUAGGGAGAGAAAAAAAUCCCAAUCUUUGGGACAUGAUGGUAUCUCAAAAGUAAGCCCCGGCUAACUACGUG
rnacentral:rRNA from 1 species